rnacentral:rRNA from 1 species
GACAGAGGGUGCAAACGUUUGUUCGGAAUUACUGGGCGUAAAGCGCGUGUAGGCGGCCCUGUAAGUCGGGUGUGAAAUCCCACGGCUCAACCGUGGAAGUGCAUUCGAAACUACAGGGCUAGAGUUCUGGAGAGGAAGGUGGAAUGCUUGGUGUAGAGGUGAAAUUCGUAGAUAUCAAGCGGAACACCGGUGGCGAAGGCGGCCUUCUGGACAGUAACUGACGCUGAGGCGCGAAAGCGUGGGGAGCAAACAGG